rnacentral:rRNA from 1 species
UACGGGGGGGGCUAGCGUUGUUCGGAAUCACUGGGCGUAAAGGGCGCGUAGGCGGCUAGGCAGGUCUGGUGUGAAAGCCCUCGGCUCAACCGAGGAAUUGCGCUGGAAACCGCUUGGCUAGAGUACAGGAGAGGAGGGUGGAAUUCCCGGUGUAGCGGUGAAAUGCGUAGAUAUUGGGAAGAACACCGGUGGCGAAGGCGGCUCUCUGGACUGUAACUGACGCUGAGGCGCGAAAGCGUGGGGAGCGAACGGGAUUAGAAACCCUUGUAGUCC